UUAUUCACAUACAUAUCUUCAGUCUGAAAGUCAGAAUUCAUUCACAUACAUGUACAUACAUCUAUCUUGUCUGAAAGUCAGAAUUUAUUUAUAGUCUGUAAGUAAGAAUCUAUUCACAAACUUAUCUUCAGUAUGAAAGUCAGAAUGAUUCACAUACAUGAACAUAUCUCAUCUGAAAGUUUGGAUUUAUUUACAGUCUAAAAGUCAGAAUUUAUAUACAUACAUGUACAUAUCUUGAAUGAAAGUCAGAAUUUUUGUCACAUACAUCAUGUACAUAUCCCCAAGGUGUUAGUCAGAAUAUAUUAUCAAAAGGGACUAUUUCCUACAUGAAAUUUUGAAGAAAGUUAUUGUUAUGAGUAGAAGGUAAUUAGCACUGGCUUCUUUCAGAGUAAUGCUGAAGUAAAUAUUGAGGAACUUGUUAUUGAUUAGAUUUAUCUCCCUUUGAAUGAAAUACCAAUAUGAAAAUGUUCAGAUACUGGACUGUUUUAUAAUGGUAUUUUUACAGUUUUUAUAUUUAGCCUGUCUUCAAUAUAUAUACACUAGCUAUGAACAUGGUUGUUGUUUAACGAAUUGAAAUGAAAAUUAUCAAAAUACAGAAAGCAAAAAUAUCUGCUUAUAACAUGUAUAAUAAGUUAAAGUUGUGACAUUUUAAAAACUAUCACAUCUUAAAUGUUGUAAUAAUAAUCAAAGCACAGGGCAAAGAGAGGAGGGGAUGGAUAUAUGCAAACAAAAAAUAAAUUCAAAAUUGAACUCCAUAGUGAAAUUUGAAAUACCCUUUGCAUGAAAAAGAAAUGUCUGUUAUCACAGCUCACACGACUGGUGCCAUAUGUGGAGCAGGAUCUGCUUACCCUUCUGGAGCACCUGAGAUCUCCCCAGUUUUUGGUGGGUUUCGUGUUGCUCAGUCUUUGGUUUUUAUACGACCACAAACAAAUUUUGCGGUUGUAUAUUGGUAUGACAUUGGUGUCAUCGUCGUCGUCGUAGUCGUCGUCCGAAUACACAUUGGUUUUCGCACUCUAACUUUAGUUUAAGUGAAUGGAUCUCUAUGAAAUUUUACCAUAAGGUUCAAUACCACAAAGGAAGGUGGGGAUUGAUUUUGAGGGUUAUGGUACCAACAAUUAAGGAAUUAGGGGCCAAAAAUAAGCAUUUUUGUAACUUCCAGACAUAACUUGUGUGUUAGUGUAUGGAUCUCUCUGACAUUGUACCACAAGGUUCCAUAUCACAAAGGGAAUGCUGGGAUGAUUUUUGGGGUAAUUGCCUCCAAAUUUUAGGAAUUAGGGCCAAAAAAGGGGCAAAAAACAAGCAUUUUUCUAGUUUCAUGACAAUAACUUGUGUGUAAGUGUAUGGAUCUCUCUGACAUUGUACCACAAGGUUCCAUAUCACAAAGGGAAUGCUAGGAUUGAUUUUGGAGGCAAUUGCCUCCAAAUUUUAGGAAUUAGGGGCCAAAAAGGGGAAAAAAACAAGCAUUUUUCUAGUUUCAUGACAAUAACUUGUGUGUAAGUGUAUGGAUCUUUCUGAAAUUGUACUACAAGGUUCCAUAUCACAAAGGGAAAGCUGGAAAUGAGUUUGGGGGUAAUUGCCUAAAACAUUUAGGAAUAAGGGGCCAAAAAGGGGCCAAAAAUAAGCAUUUUUAUACGACCGCAAAAAUUAAAAAUUUUUUGGUCGUAUAUUGGUAUGACAGUGGCGUCGUCGUCGUCGUCGUCGUCGUCGUCGUCGUCGUCCGGCGUCGUCGUCGUCGUCCGGCGUCGUCCAGCGUCGUCCGAAGACACAUUGGUUUUCGCACUCUAACUUUAGUUUAAGUGAAUGGAUCUCCAUGAAAUUUCACCAUAAGGUUCAAUACCACAAAAGAAAGGUUGGGAUUGAUUUUGGGGGUUAUGGUACCAACAGUUAAGGAAUUAGGGGCCAAAAAGGGGCCAAAAAUAAGCAUUUUUGUAACUUUCAGACAAUAACUUGUGUGUAAGUGUAUGGAUCUCUCUGACAUUGUACCACAAGGUUCCAUAUCACAAAGGGAAGGCUGUAAUUGAUUUUGGGGGUAAUUGCCUCAAAAUUUUAGGAAUAAGGGGCCAAAAAAGGGGCAAAAAACAAGCAUUUUUUAGUUUCAUGACAAUAACUUGUGUGUAAGUGUUUGGAUAUUUCUGAAAUUGUACUACAAGGUUCCAUAUCACAAAGGGAAAGCUGGGUUUGAGUUUGGGGGUAAUUGCCCUAAACGUUUAGGAAUUUGGGGCCAAAAAGGGGCCAAAAAACAAGCAUUUUUCUAGUUUCCAGACAAUAACUUGUGUUCAAGUGUAUGGAUCUCUCUGAAAUUGUACUGCAAGGUACCAUACCACAGAGGGAAGGCUGGGAUUGAUUUUGGGGGUAAUUGCCUCAAAAUUUUAGGAAUUAGGGGCCAAAAAGGGGCAAAAAAAAAGCAUUUUUCUAGUUUCAGGAUAAUAACUUGUGUGUAAGUGUAUGGAUCUUUAUGAAAUUGUACUGCAAGGUUCCAUAUCACAAAGGGAAAGCUGGGUUUGAGUUUGGGGGUGAUGAAUCAUUAGGGGGUUCAAAAAAUUUGGGGGGAGGGAUUUUUUUUCCUUUUUUUCCUUUUUUUUCUUUAAAAUUUUCCAUUUUGAAUUGGUUAUUUCUGAUUUAUAUAUAAAAGCAAAUAAUAAUGAUAUGGUUUGAAUAGGUAAAUUAAAAAUUUAUAAGUUCUAAGACCACAUUCAUUCUGUGUCAGAAACCUAUGCUGUGUCAAAUAUUUAAUCAGAAUCCAAAUUCAGUGCUGUAUCAAGCUUGAAUGUUGUGUCCAUACUUGCCCAAACUGUUCAGGGUUCGACCUCUGCGGUCAUAUCAAGCUGCGCCCAGUGGAGCAUUUUAUUGUGUUUUGGUCUGUUUUUCUUCAACUAUAAGCAAUAGAUCAACUAUAUUUGUUGUAUGGAAGGAGUGUAAGGUGUAUAUGUCUGUCUUGCAGGUAUCAUUUGACCUUGACCUCAUUUUCAUGGUUCAUUGGUCAGUGUUAAGUUUUCAUGGUUAAGUUUGUUUCUUAGAUACUAUAAGCAAUAGGUCAACUAUAUUUAAUGAAUAAAUUGAUUGUAAGGUGUACAAUGUCUGUCUGGCAUGGUUCAUCUGACCUUGACUUCAUUUUCAUGGUUCUUUGGUCAAUGUUAAGUUUUCUUGGUUAAGACUGUUUCUUAGAAACUAUAAGCAAUAGGUCAACUAUGUUUGGUUUAUUGAAUGAUUGUAAGGUGCACAUGUUUUUCUCGUUUAGUUUAUCUGACCUUGACCUCAUUUUCUUGGAUCAUGUUAAGUUUAUGUGUUACUUGUAGUAAAGCUUUAUAUUUAGGACUAUCAACAUGAAAUCAAUGGUUAGUAAAGAAGGUGACAAAUUUCAGCGUGUGCACUCUUGUUAACCAUGGUGUAGCCUUAUCACCUACUUUUAUAUGUCCAUCACUGGUAACAAUAGAUUUUAAAAUAUAAUUAUUCCCCUGUUGCCUCCAAGCGAUAAAUGUACAGGCUACACGGUGCUGUCUGUCUAAUAGACAGUGUCUAUGUUUGAUUUAUCAUGUAUGAUUGUCCGUUUGGUAUCUUCGUCCUCCCUGUUUUCUAAUAUUGAAUGAUCCAUUACUAUUUGAAGGAAAUUUUACUUUGUAUUUAUAUUACCAUGAAUUUCUAGAUGUAGUCACGAUGAAACAUAUUUUUAUACGACCGCAAAAAAAUUUUGUGGUCGUAUAUUGGUAUGACGUUGGCGUCGUCGUCGUCGUCCGGCGUCGUCGUCGUCGUCGUCGUCGUCCGGCGUCGUCGUCCGAAUACACAUUGGUUUUCGCACUCUAACUUUAGUUUAAGUGAAUGGAUCUUUUUGAAAUUUGACCAUAAGGUUAAAUACCACAAAAGGAAGGUUGGGAUUGAUUUUGGGGGUUAUGGUACCAACAGUUAAGGAAUUAGGGGCCAAAAAGGGGCCAAAAAUAAGCAUUUUCUAGUUUCCAGACAAUAACUGUGGAACGGUGUAUGGAUCUCUCUGAAAUUAUACUACAAGUUUCCAUACCACAAAGGGAUGGUUAGGAUUUGCUUUGGGGGGUUAUGGCUCAAACCGUUUAGGAAUUAGGGCAAAAAAGGGGGAAAAACAAGGUUGUCCUGGUUAUUGGACAAAUACUUUAGUACAAAACAUAAUUUAAAGCAGUGUAAGUGAGAUAAAUCAAAUACAUCAUUUGAAUUACCUCCCUUACACUGCUUUUAAAUUAUGUAAAGCAAUAGUUAAUGAACAAUUAAGACAAUUUAAAACAGUGUAAGCGAGGUAAUCCAAAUACAACGUUUUGAUUACUUCACUUACACUGCUUUUAAAUUAUGUUUAAAGAAAUGCAUAUUUAUAAAGGAAGACCAGUAAAAAUAUCUGCAAAUGUUGCAUCUUUUUUUUUUACAAAAAAAUCCAUAUGAAAGAUUUAACACCAUAUUUUAAAUUCUAUUAUAAAAUAGAUUAAGUUAGCACUAUGGUAAAUUUAAAUGGGUAAU